rnacentral:lncRNA from 1 species
CUCAUAUCACAGCCCAGAUGGUUCUGGGCCAGUCACCACCGCUGCUGAUGGGGCAGCUGCCGAGAAGCACAGAGUAUACUCGCCAUGGUGGCCCACCUCCAGUAUGAAGGGGUGAUCCUUUGAAAAAUCUGAGUACAUCGUGGGAGAGGCACAGAGAGAUAUAAUCAAUGCCUCUUUAUGAAAAAUAGCAAUCACCUUUUUAUCCUUCAGUUUGUUCUCUGAGGCAACUUCUUCUGGAGCAACUUCCACAAGCUGGUUUUGUUCUUUGCCCCACAAACUACAGUUUUAUACUACCGUCAAGGUGAGCGUGUGAAGUUUGCAUUUUUUCCUUUUAUGGUAAAGCAUUAUGUGAGUAAGAUGCAGUUUGCAGUUCCUUUUUCACAUCCUUUUGUCCUUCUUUAGUGUAAAGGUUUCUACCCCUGAAAGGCCCACAAAACUAUUACAAGAAGACUUUUGAAGAGAGGCUCAAGCAUGUGCUGAGAGUUUCCUGCACCAAGGUUUCCAUCGAAAAUACGCAGGGAUGGACUCAAUGUUUGCUGCAGCUUCCUGGCUGGACAGAUACAGUAUCAGUCAUCGUGGAAGUAUGCUCCAGCAACAGUCACUUCCUGCUCCUGUUUAAUAAUCUCUCAAGAUCAAUUUCCUCACAUCAGCAUUUUCAAAAACCAUGUCAAAAAGUCUCCUUGCAAACUCAUGUAUUUGCUUAAAAUUAAUAAAUAUAUGUGCAGAAAAUAAAAAGCA